AUAUAGUUAACGGGGAGCCUGUAGACAGGCUGAGAGUGGAAUGUGAUUCCAGACCCUCAUAACCUGAUUUGGAUAAUGCCAACGUAGGGAGUUAAUGCAUCAUGUUUG
rnacentral:ncRNA from 2 species